GACAGAGGGUGCAAACGUUGUUCGGAAUUACUGGGCGUAAAGCGAGUGUAGGCGGUUCGGUAAGUCGGAUGUGAAAGCCCCGGGCUCAACCCGGGAAGUGCACUCGAUACUGCCGAGCUAGAGUAUCGGAGAGGUUGGUGGAAUUCUCGGUGUAGAGGUGAAAUUCGUAGAUAUUGGGAAGAACACCGGUGGCGAAGGCGGCUCACUGGCUCAUAUCUGACGCUCAGGCGCGACAGCGUGGGGAUCAAACAGG
rnacentral:rRNA from 1 species